AACAAUAAAUAAAAAUUUAUUGAAAAUUAAAUAAUCAAAAUCAGCCAUCACUUUUGAAUUGUGGAUUAACAUAAUUAUUUAAAAAAACAAACUAAUGAAAUAGGGCUGGACAAAAAUGAUGGUACCCAUAACUUAAUAUUUUGUUGCACAACCUUUUGAGGCAAUCGCUGCAAUUAAACGAUUUCUGUAUUUGUCAAUGAGCGUUCUGCAGCUGUCAACAGGUAUUUUGGCCCACUCCUCAUGAGCAAACAGCUCCAGUUGUCUCAGGUUUGAUGGGUGUCUUCUCCAAAUGGCAUGUUUCAGCUCCUUCCACAUAUGUUCAAUGGGAUUCAGAUCUGGGCUCAUAGAAGGCCACUUUAGAAUAGUCCAACGCUUUUCUCUCAGCCAUUCUUGGGUGUUUUUGGCUGUGUGUUUUGGAUCGUUGUCCUGUUGGAAGACCCAUGACCUGCGACUGAGACCAAGCUUUCUGACACUAGGCAGCACAUUUCUCUCCAGAAUGCCUUGAUAGUCUUCAGAUUUCAUCGUACCUUGCACACUUUCAAGACACCCUGUGCCAGAUGCAGCAAAGCAGCCCCAAAACAUUACUGAGCCUCCUCCAUGUUUCACCGUAGGGACAGUGUUCUUUUCUUCGUAUGCUUGGUUUUUGAGUCUAUGAACAUAGAGUUGAUGUGCCUUACAAAAAAGUUCCAGUUUGGUCUCAUCUGUCCAAAGGACAUUCUCCCAGAAGCUUUGUGGCUUGUCAACAUGCAUUUUUGCAAAUUCCAGUCUGGCUUUUUUAUGAGUUUUUUUCAGCAGUGGUGUCCUCCUUGGUCGUCUCCCAUGAAGUCCACUUUGGCUCAAACAACGACGAAUGGUGCGAUCUGACACUGAUGUACCUUGGCCUUGGAGUUCACCUUUAAUUUCUUUGGAGGCUCUUUGGAUACAAUUCCAACGAUCCGUCUCUUCAAUUUGUCAUCAAUUUUCCUCUUGCGGCCACGUCCAGGGAGGUUGGCUACUGUCCCGUGGGUCUUGAACUUCUGAAUAAUAUGAGCCACUGUUGUCACAGGAACUUCAAGCUGUUUAGAGAUGGUCUUAUAGCCUUUACCUUUAAGAUGUUUGUCUAUCAUUUUUUUUCGAAUGUCCUGGGACAAUUCUCUCCUUCGCUUUCUGUUGUCCAUGUUCAGUGUGGUACACACCUUUUCACCAAACAGCAGGGUGACUACUUGUCUCCCUUUAAAUAGGCAGACUGACUGAUUAUGAGUUUGGAAACACCUGUGAUGUCAAUUAAAUGACACACCUGAGUUAAUCAUGUCACUCUGGUCAAAUAGUUUUCAAUCUUUUAUAGAGGUACCAUCAUUUUUGUCCAGGCCUGUUUCAUUAGUUUGUUUUUUUAAAUAAUUAUGUUAAUCAACAAUUCAAAAGUAAUGGCUGUUUUUGAUUAUUUAAUUUUCAAUAAAUUUUUAUUUAUUGUUA